AUUCCAGCUCCAAUAGCGAAUACUAAUUCUGCUGCAGUUAAAAAGCUCGUAGUUGAACUUCUGGUAGGGCGGAUCCGGUCGUUGGACGAAUGUCCUCUGUUACUGUGUGUCUCGUCUGGCCAUCCUCGGCAACAUUUUGUUGUUGUCGUCUUUCACUGUAAAAAAAUUAGGGUGUUUCAAGCAAAAGUUAUUUGGAAUAUAUUAGCAUGGAAUAAUAAUUUAGGACUUUUGUUCUAUUUUGUUGGUUUCUAGGACGAAAGUAAUGAUUGAUAGGGAUAGUUGGGGGUGCUAGUAUUCGGCGGCCAGAGGUGAAAUUCUUUGAUCCGCUGAAGACUAACUUAUGCGAAAGCAUUCACCAAGGAUGUCUUCAUCG
rnacentral:rRNA from 1 species